CUGUGAUGCGCAAGCUUUUGAUACCCUGGUGCUGCAAAUUGCACGUAUUGGAGGGAAAAACACCAAGGAUUGUGUCCACAAAGUCCUUGACCGGCUCUUCAGUAAUGCCCUGAUGGCGAGGUUUAAUAUGAAGAAGAAGGGGAAAAGGCAAG